GGAAAAACACUCAUAAUAUGAGUGUUUUUUAAUAACACAAAAGAUUGUUUUAUUGGUUGUGCACUUAUUGUUUUUAUCGAGAAACCAAGAUUCAUUUAAGUCUUUUACAAAAAGGGCAUACGAAAAGAGACGCAGUAGGCGUGUCCAAAAAGAAUAUUAAAAAAUACUAGAGUUUUCAUCAGUACAUAUGGAAAAAAAUUAGAAUGUUGGAACUUCUAAAAGAAAUAAUUUCUUAUCUUGAGAAAAUCUAAAAGAAUAUUUUGACCAUCAUGAGUCAGCGAUUUUGUACAAUGAAUACUCUUAUGACCAAAAGCCUAAUGAGUAUAAGCAUAACCCAACUUUAAAGGAAAGUUCUGCAUUUUUUUCUAACCAAGUAAUUAUUACUAAGAUUUUCCUUUUAUUUUAACUAUUUGGCUGUCCUAUUAUAUGUAAUGUUGUUAAGUUGGUUACAUAUAUUUAUAUCAUUGACAGCAUUCUAUUGUAUUAAAUAAUCCUUUAAUCAACUUGAUAUGAAAAUUGAAAACUGAUUGAAAGCAUGCUGAAGUUGUUUGAAUUCAGAAAUUGAAAGAGUACAAAAUUGGUUGAAAGAUUAAAUUAAGUAACAGAGAUGCAAAAUGUUAUUCUCAAGGAGCUUGCAGAAAUAAAAGUUCUUUUAAAAGAAGUUAUAGAAAUUAAGUUCCAGGCUACUGGGGUGAAGUUGCUAGAAUCGGUGGACGAAGUGGUUACACUGGAUAAUAAACUAAAAGAUAAAACCGAGUAUACUAAUUUGCUUGAUAGUUUAAAAAAGAUUGGUGGUGGAAAGCCAAGAGAAAAUGUUUUUUUGAUCAUGUAAAGGUAAAUGAUUUUGUUUUUAUUAAUUAUUAGAAAUAUGAUUAAAAGGGACCAAAAGCAAUUCUUUUUGACCCUUAUUUGUUAUGGAUUUACUUUUAACAUGACAAUUUGAUAAACUCGGGAGCUUCGCUGUAGGUGUUAAAGUUUGUUUGUGUGCUAAAGUAAGUGUAAUGCUAAACCUUGUUUAGCAUUUUAUUUGCAAAUUUAAUGCUUUUACCUUUCAUAAUUUUAAGCAUUCAUAUAUUAAAUGAAUCGAAAAGGAAAUGGGGAAAAGAUAAGCUUAGAAAAUCUAGUAAAUAUAUGGAGUGUUUUACGAGAUAUCGGCGACGUAGAAGAAAAUAUUGACGGCAAUGCAGAAAUAUAGUUUCUUAUGUAUAUUUUUGUGAAAUAAAAAUUAAGUAAUGUUAGUUAAAA